UGAAGCAGUGAGUUUGUGAUAGGAGGCCAAAAUUGGGGGAAUAUGCUUAAACAUUGUUCUCCUGGGCAGAACUCCAGCAGCAACAUUUUGAACCAGUU